rfam:Schistosoma mansoni strain Puerto Rico chromosome 5, complete genome
AUCCACCUGACGAGUUCUACAUAGGAUGAAACGCGUGUUAUGCAU